rfam:Crucifer tobamovirus genomic RNA, complete genome, isolate:Tochigi.
GAAUUCAUCGAUUCGGUUGCAGCAUUUAAAGCGGUUGACAAUUUCAGGAAAAAGAAAAAGAAGAUUGGAGGAAGGGAUGUGAUUAGUAAGUAUAAGUAUAGACCAGAGAAGUACGCCGGUCCUGAUUCGUUACUUAAUAAAGAAGAAAAUG